GACCGUUAUUUGCUCGAUUACCCUCAACUUUUUUGUCGCAAAUAACAUCAUUAAUAACCUGUAAAUAAUCAAAUUUGUACACAUUACGUUCCUCUUCACUUUGUAAUAGUAUGUUUUUGGUUUAAUAGUCGGCUUUUAGUUAGUUUUUCUGUCAGUUUGAUCGUCAAAAUCUUGAAAGUUAUCUACAGCCACACAUCCACUGUAUACCAAGUUAUGAUGAUCAAUUAUGAGAAUGCAAAAGGAUUGAUAGAUCAGUAAACAAACAACAAAAAGAUGGGUGCUCAUGGUGGCCUCCGAAUAAAUACAUGGACAGGCUGCUAAAGAGGGUCAGGAUGAUGGAGAUGCAAGAGUCAAAGACAGCACAGACCAAACACCAGGCCAGAAUUCUGCAUGAGUCAGUUUCCAGCCUUUUUCACAAAGUUGCCGACAACUGGAAGAAUGUCCCAAAUUGCUGAAAAAAGAAAUUCAAUUGAGUAAUUUUCACUCUAGAGACCCUGGGGUGACCACCAAGGACGAAUGCAAACUCCAGUGAGUGUCUCUAAGGUAGAUCCUAAUGCAGAUGGAUGGAAUGUUGAUCCGCCUAACAUGCAAGAUUUUCUGUACCGAGAACUUUGGAUGACCAUCAAGACAAGCACUCGUUUUGAGUCCUGAAACCCUGGGGUGACCACCGUGAACAAAUACAGACUGCAAAAAGGCAGUCUUGACGGUACUAGGAUGAAUGCAAAUAAAGACUAACCACCUGACUUCAGAGGUCCAGUCUCUUGUGGGAAGCAGGUGUUUGUUACCCCAAAUACGGAUGAAGAGUGACGAAGAGGAUGAUGAUUUUUUUUCUCAAACAUCUGCUGAAGAUCUUGACAGGCGGGAGACAAAAUUAACAGACUGAGGGUUUAUACAAAGAAUCUUACUCAGCCAAUAUUAAAGAUAAGAUAUUUUUACAAAAUGUUCUUUUCAUUGUUUAGGAUGAUUUUAUGUAGAAAACAGUACAUCACAAAAAAGACUUUAGCUAUGUUUUCACAGGCAGAGCCUUACACACACACUAACCACAAUUAUAAACGCAACACUAACACAGAAUUAGACAGAUUUGUGAAUAAUAUUUGAGAGAAAUAGGCCUUUUGGGGACAUAGAAAAUAUUUAAGUUCAGCUCAUGAAAUGAAAAAUGGGGGCAAAAACAAAUAUUAAAAAGUGCAAUACAAAUAUCAACCAUAAUACUGAUCGUUUUAAUCAAGUAAGCCACUAUAUCUUUCUAGAAUCUUACACAAGACUCGUGUAACUCGUGUACUCGUGUUACAUGAACGAUCAAAAUAAAUUAACGUCAGACAGGUGGGAGAAAUAUCAAUAUUAAAGCAUGAAAAACUGUUAUCAACCCAAUUUCAAGGUAUUAUUGAAAUGAUCCCACACCAAACAGUUUAUUAUUUAAAUGCAUGAUUACUACAUACCUUAAGCAAAUGUUCCACGCCUUUCUUCUUCAUGGCAUUGCGAGGUCAAGCGGAUGUUGUUAUGAAGAAUCACGACCUUGACGUAAAGACGCACAUCCGUAAUUUAUUUAACAAUGACAACACUUUCGGGUAAUUUUAUCUUCUAGAUCCUAAUUAAAGCUAUAUAGAAAGAACAGCCUUUCACGAUUAUUUCCUGGUAAUUUUUUGAAAUGUUUUAUUUUAGAAUGGAGCUUAAUAAAGCAG